GGUCGUUAGCUCAGUUGGUAGAGCAGUUGGCUUUUAACCAAUUGGUCGUAGGUUCGAAUCCUACAACCA
rnacentral:tRNA from 1 species